GACGUAGGAGGCAAGCGUUGUUCGGAUUUACUGGGCGUAAAGGGCGCGUAGGCGGCAUGACAAGUCACUUGUGAAAUCUCCGGGCUUAACCCGGAGCGGCCAAGUGAUACUGUCGUGCUAGAGUGCGGAAGGGGCUACUGGAAUUCUCGGUGUAGCGGUGAAAUGCGUAGAUAUCGAGAGGAACACCUGCGGCGAAGGCGGGUAGCUGGGCCGACACUGACGCUGAGGCGCGAAAGCCAGGGGAGCGAACGGG
rnacentral:rRNA from 1 species